rnacentral:rRNA from 1 species
CACAUGUCAAAUCUACAUAAUGAACUAACUCAUAUCGCCGUAUCAACGGGCAGUAGACAUAGCACGCCUGACGAUAACCUGCCCUUAACAUCUGGGAUAAGCCUGGCGAAACUGGAGUCUAAUACCAGCGAUAGCGAGCGCCUACCAGCAUGGUGGGUGUAUGGAAAGAUUUAUCGGUUUUGGAUGGACUCGCGGCCUAUCAGCUUGUUGGUAGAGGUAAUGGCUCACCAAGGCGACGACGGUAGCCGGCCUGAGAGGGUGACCGGCCACACUGGGACUGAGACACGGCCCAACUCCUACGGGAGGCAGCAGUGGGGAAUAUUGCACAAUGGGCGCAAGCCUGAUGCAGCGACGCCGCGUGAGGGAUGACGGCCUUCGGGUUGUAAACCUCUUUCAGUAGGGAAGAAGCGAAAGUGACGGUACCUGCAGAAGAAGCACCGGCUAACUACGUGCCAGCAGCCGCGGUAAUACGUAGGGUGCGAGCGUUAUCCGGAAUUAUUGGGCGUAAAGAGCUCGUAGGCGGUUUGUCGCGUCUGUCGUGAAAGUCCGGGGCUUAACCCCGGAUCUGCGGUGGGUACGGGCAGACUAGAGUGCAGUAGGGGAGACUGGAAUUCCUGGUGUAGCGGUGGAAUGCGCAGAUAUCAGGAGGAACACCGAUGGCGAAGGCAGGUCUCUUGGCUUUAACUGACGCUGAAGGAGCGGAAGCAUGGGGAGCGAACAGGAUUAGAUACCCUGGUAGUCCAUGCCGUAAACGUUGGGCACUAGGUGUGGGGACCAUUCCACGGUUUCCGCGCCGCAGCUAACGCAUUAAGUGCCCCGCCUGGGGAGUACGGCCGCAAGGCUAAAACUCAAAGGAAUUGACGGGGGCCCGCACAAGCGGCGGAGCAUGCGGAUUAAUUCGAUGCAACGCGAAGAACCUUACCCAAGGCUUUGACAUGUUCUCGAUCGCCGUAGAGAUACGGUUUCCCCUUUGGGGCGGGUUCACAGGUGGUGCAUGGUGUCGUCAGCUCGUGUCGUGAGAUGUUGGGUUAAGUCCCGCAACGAGCGCAACCCUCGUUCCAUGUUGCCAGCACGUAAUGGUGGGGACUCAUGGGAGACUGCCGGGGUCAACUCGGAGGAAGGUGAGGACGACGUCAAAUCAUCAUGCCCCUUAUGUCUUGGGCUUCACGCAUGCUACAAUGGCCGGUACAAUGGGUUGCGAUACUGUGAGGUGGAGCUAAUCCCAAAAAGCCGGUCUCAGUUCGGAUUGGGGUCUGCAACUCGACCCCAUGAAGUCGGAGUCGCUAGUAAUCGCAGAUCAGCAACGCUGCGGUGAAUACGUUCCCGGGCCUUGUACACACCGCCCGUCAAGUCACGAAAGUUCUGGUAACACUCUGCGAUAUGUCGCGUUUGUGGCCUAAUCCUGCGUGACGGGAGUGACCUGUUGCGUAUAGGUGCU